GACGAACGCUGGCGGCGUGCUUAACACAUGCAAGUCGAACGGUGAAGCGCCUUCCUUUUUGGUGGGUGUGGAUGAGUGGCGAACGGGUGAGUAACACGUGAGUAACCUGCCCCCUUCUUCUGGAUAACCGCAUGAAAGUGUGGCUAAUACGGGAUAUUCUGGGUCUGUCGCAUGAUGGGUCUGGGAAAGAUAUUGUUUCGGUGGGGGAUGGGCUCGCGGCCUAUCAGCUUGUUGGUGGGGUGAUGGCCUACCAAGGCGGUGACGGGUAGCCGGCCUGAGAGGGUGGACGGUCACGCUGGGACUGAGACACGGCCCAGACUCCUACGGGAGGCAGCAGUGGGGAAUCUUGCACAAUGGGCGCAAGCCUGAUGCAGCGACGCCGCGUGAGGGAUGGAGGCCUUCGGGUUGUGAACCUCUUUCGCCAGUGAAGCAGGCCUGCCUCGUUUGUGGGUGGGUUGACGGUAGCUGGAUAAGAAGCGCCGGCUAACUACGU
rnacentral:rRNA from 1 species